rnacentral:lncRNA from 1 species
GAGUACCUGGCUUUGUUCUGUGAAGCUGAGGAGAUGGCCCCACGGAAUCUCUCACCCUUAGCCCCUGUACACAUUCCCACUGAUGCAAAGAGUGGAGAGUAGGUUCUCCUUCUUGGCGUAUCUCUCACUCUGGGGAGGUGGGCUUUGCUGGCUUUGUCGGAGCCACUCCCUUGACUUCUCCAUUUGCCCAAAAAACAUGUAGUUUGGUUGAAGAUGGUUUAUCAGUUAAGAACUGUCACCAGUUGCAAUUUAUGCAAGUAAAGGAAAUUUGACUGCAGUGGUGUGGAGGGGGCAGUCCAGGGCUGCCACCAGAACCCAGUUUCUCCCUGCCUUCUACUCCACCUGUGUUAGUGAGCAUCCUUCAUUCUCAUGCAUGCAAGAUAGUUCAUCUUCCCCUGGAUUUAUGUCCCCUUCCCAAUAGACUCCCACUUACAUGACAUUGGCCAGACUGGGUCAUGUGACCACCCCUGCUUGCAAGGGAGUCUGGGAAGGUAAGUAGUUGUGGCUGGGCAAUUGCUCUUGUAAUAGACACAGGGCAGUGGGGUUCAUGCUGCCUGCCACAGAUGGAGUUUGUAUUUCUUUUCCUCAUUGUCUUGUUUGCAACUUGACUCUGCCAUUCAAAGCUAUAAGUGCCCAGCAGACCUGUUUCCACACUGUAGAUCUUGUUCCACUGCUCUCCUGGCUCUUCCCUAUUCCAGGAGCAUCUUGGUAUCUUCUCUAUAGCUUUGUAUGACAUGGUCAUGGUCAUAUCUUAGUGUCAUUCCAAAAUACAGGAUCGUUUUUGUCAGUAUGAAUGGUAUCUGUAUCUGUGUUUAAUAUUUAGUUUGUUAUAGCAAGGGUGACAGUAUAAUUUAUCAUCCAAAUCAGAAUACUUUUGAGGGUAAAAGGGGAACAACAUUAAAAAUUAUGUCAGAACAACAAGUGUCAACUGAGACUGUCCCAAGCCAUGACAUAUAAUUACCCUAGUAACUGCUGAGGUCAAUGCACACUGUUGCAUUUUAUAAAUUGAUCUGAUGUCUUACAGGUUGACUAUUAUACCUCUAUGUAUGCACUCUCCAUUCUACUAAUUAACCUGUUGAUUCUAUUAAAUUUUCUAUGUAAGUUAUCCACAAUUAACUGUAAUUUUGGUUCUUCUAUUCCAGUCCUAGUCUAUGCUUUUUUUUCUUGCCUUAUUGCAUGAGCCAGAGCUCUAGUACUAUAUGGAGCUAUAAUGAUAGCGACAUUUUUGUCUCGCUUCCAGUCUUAAAGUCACAUGGUUCACAACGUUCAGAAGACAAAACCCAUGUGUUCAGAGGAAACCUGGAUUCUUCUGGCACUGAGGCCAGAGAGAAAUGUCCCCAGUGAGUCCCCAUUGAGGAGACACCAUGUGAUAUUUUUUUUCCUUGUAUUUCCUCCAGAAAACCCUUUUGCUGUGCCUCAGGAUGGGGGAGAUGAGAUCUGAAAUACCCAGUGCAGCCUCCGAGAAGGACAACUUCUACAGAGAUGCCAGGGACAGCCGAGGUGGUAGAGAAGGGAAUGCUGCCUGUGCCCAAAGCCCCCUUCUGCGGACUUCUAAGAUUACGAGCAAACUCAGGGGUAGGGGCUGGGGGUGCAGGGGAGGGGAUUCUGAGCCACCUGUCCACAAGCGAUAGUCCUGUUUUGGGCUGGUGGCUUCUGAGAGGUGACUCAUUGUGGCCUCAGGAUGACCAAGACAAAGCAACUCUGGCUGAUUCCAGCCAGGAGGAUUGAGGCCUGUGAGUUAUACCUGUGGUUGAAAACCGAAGCUUCCCUUGCCCCUGCUCCCUCCAAUAGCGGCCCCUUGGGGCUAUUUGUGUCAGAAUAUUGAAUGUGCGUGUGUGUGUGUGUGUGUGUGCGCGCGCGCGUGUGAUUUGGGGUGUUCUUGUUUGGUUGGUUGGUUUUUAUUGGGGCUUCCCCCCUCAAGUUCUCUGAUGGGCGCGGGUUACCUUCUGGCUGGGGGUUCUCAUCCGUGUCAAUGUUCAGGCUGCAAGCUUCUUGCUAAGCACAGGGUACAGCCCCUCUGUGUCUCAGGGAGCACUGGGGAUUUGAAAAUGCCAGUCAGGGUUGGUUCUUACAGAAUUCAUUCCUGUAACAAAAAUACUCAGGGACGCAUCUCAGGCUGACCACAGGGCAGGUACCAAGUUAAGUGUUUUCAUGCACUCUCCCUCUCACCACGUGGGAGGCAGGUAUGAUUAACCCCCUGCAGAAAAAGCUGCAGAAAAAGCUCACAGUGGGGAAGGGGGGUGCCCAGGCGCCACAUGGCCAGGAGGAGACCAACCCCUCGUUUGACCUCAGGGGUGCAGGAACCCAAAGUCCAGGCUCCAACUCCCUGGACAUGACGUGAUCCCCAGCCAGGGCACACCCUGCACAAUGCCAGGAGCAUCUCCUUGAUGCCUCCACAGGCUGUCGCCCUGAGUUCUCCACCAUCACCGCCGAGAGCGCUGAUCCACUCAGCACAUUCUGGCUAAGCACCUGCUGUGCGCCAGGCCCCAUGCUGGGCAGUGAUGGGGACAGAAGAUGAGUCAGACCUCAUCUCUGCCCCUGGGGAGCCUCCCAUCUGGUGGGAGACACAGACACAUGGAUCUUUGCUGGGCAGGGUAACGAGGCUAUGGAAACCCAGAGAGGAGGGUUCUAGAAAUCCACCCGCUUUGAAUUGGGACUUCCACAUAAGCCUAGAUGCCCGUAACAUCCACCCACAGAGCUAAUCACCUCCACUCCUGCCCCGGGGCACCUAUGAGAUGGAUGGCAUCACCUAAAUGAUCACAAACAUCUCCAAAGGCCACGCUGCCAGUGUAGACACACUCAUUCCAUGGGUGUUAGUGAUACCAAAUCUCCCCCAGUUCUUAGCUCAGGAGGCCCUGCUUAAUAAACAUGUGUGUCCUCUGACCCAGUUUCCUCAUUUCAUCAGACCUAGUGUUCUCACACUGACUGCCCAUCCAUUCACCAGACACAACAGUGAGCAAGGCAGGUCCCUGCUCACUGUGCUGGCUUUCUAGCUGGGGCGGGAAUACAGUGAAGGUGGCAAGGGCGGCGAGUGUUCUGCCGGGAACUCAGUUCGAGGGACAAGUGAGUGAGACCCUCGUGGACCUGGGGUGGUCUGGGAAGGCCUUAUUGAGCAGAUGAUUGAAGGCCAGAUUUGAAUGACACACAGGACCGAGUAAUGGGCGUUAAAGAUAGGAAAAGAGCAUUCCAGGCAGAAGGAACAGCUAGUGCAAAGGCCCUGUGGCAGGCACAGGCUUGGUGGUUUCAAGGAAGCAUAAGAAAGCCAGGUGGCUGGGACCCAGAGGGAAGGCAGGAGAUGAGGGCAAGAGUGCCCAGCCCUGGGCUCCACUGUGAGUCACACUGUGCAAACAAUGCCCUGCGUUUGGAAAAGCAGAACAAACUUGCUAGGGCAUAAAGCAUCCUCCAUUCUCCCUGGCUCUUCAUCCUCUCAACAGCCCCAUGAAGAAGGGGCUCUCCCCAUUUUAUGGAUGAGAAGACAGACUCAGCCGGGUCAAGUGGCUUGCCCAGGGUCACACAGGUCAGCUGUGGAAGACCCAGGCCCCUGGCCUCAGUCUUUGGGUCCAGCUGUCUCCUCCAGGCAGUGUUGCCAGUGUCCAGGCAUAUGGCUUGGCAGAGGCAAAGUGGGAGAACCUGUGCUGGGGGGUCUCAAUUAGAGAAAGGCAUGGCUUCCUCUCCCCUGACAUGAGCAAUCCCAGGGCACCCCCCAGGCCCAUGUUGCCAUAAGGGGGUGCACAGCCUGUCUGCUAGCCCAGCUGGGGCAGCCACAGCUGUGUCCCACGUGCAGUGCCUUGGAAGGCAGAGGAAGCCUUGGGGUGGGGGCCCAAGACCCAGAUUCUGACAUCAGCUCUGCCACUGAGAGCAGCGGGACCUCAGGCAAGGUCUGUUCCCUCAGUUUCCCCAUCAGUAAGAGGAAGGAGUCAGAUGGGUAUUUAAGGAGUUUGCAACCCUCAUGUCCUGCUGUCCUGGAUGAUGCUCUAUAGGUGCUUACUCUGCCAAAAAGGAACUGGUGGCCUUGCCUCCCUCUCCUGGACACCUAAGGUCACAGGUCACUGCCAAACAGACAGAGCUGGAGUUCACGUAAGCAUCCCUUGAGAUUUACAACCUUCUAGGAGGACAUUCCUUCUGCCACCCCCCCCAUCCCCCGUCCUCCCUCCCCCCUCCCCACCCCGCUGCCACCCAGAGGUCUUUUCAGGAAUAACUGAAAAACUCAUGGGGUUUGUGGUCCUGCUGCUCUGCCAAGUCCCUCUUGGGCAGCUGGGCUGAGGACUGGAACAUUCUGUGGCAAGGAAGAGGCCUCAGCAGAGAUCACCGAGACCCAGCACACAUGGUAUAGAUAGCUUGCAGCAAAGGCAGGUGCAGAGUGCAGCCAGCCACAGCACCCUCCUUCCCGCAGGUCACCCCCACAAGCCACUUAACCUCUCAGAGCCUCUGCUUCUUAUCUGUCAAAUGUGUGAGGUGGGGUGCCAGGGGGUCACGGCCCUUGCUGUCUCAUGGAGGAGCCGAGGGGUGAGAAGUGUGCACUUGGGUGUGAACACUCGGUGUGGAAAGCAGGUGUGUGUGUGUAUUCAAUCCCCCAGUGGUGUCAAGGGCUCCUGAAAACCCCGUGGGUCCCCAGGUCAUUGUGAUAAACACUGUCCCCAUCCUGCUGUGGUUAUGGCUGGCAGGUCCUUCAAUGAGUAGAGUGUCCCUGAGAAACAAGAUGCAGGGUAGUGACAAGUUCAAGCAUAGAUUUCUAGAGUUACCGGUUUUUAGCAACUCAACCUGAUUUUUUAAGCUGCCUACUCUUACUUUUUGCUGUGAGCUUCUGUCCAUCACCAUGUAAUUUGUAAUAAUAAUAAUACAAAAAAACACAAGAGGAUAAGAUGUCCACAGAGGAAUCUGCAUUCGAGGCUGCUUUGCAGAACUACCGCGUUUGUAAGGACUGUUUCUCACUGGGAACUGUGUGUGAUUCACGAGCAGUUUUAUGCUUUCCCUCUCAUCUGUGUAUGGUGUGAUUAUUGUGUGUUUUGGAAUCUCUAUUCAGAACCAAUAGCUGGUAGUGCCUGCUGGCUCGCUGCCCUCAUGUUAGCCUCUGAACAUGCCCUGCACCUAGAGAAGCAGCCUGCUCACCCACCUCACCUGUACCCUCCAGCUGCCAGGCCAGCAGCUGACCAUAACCAUUGCUGAAAUUAGCAUAACAUGAACACAGGAGGCAGAGCUUGCAGUGAGCUGAAAUCAUACCACUGCACUCUAGUCUGGGCGACAGAGUGAGACUGUCUAGGUAGGUAGGUAAGAAGGAAGGAAGGAAUAACAGACCUGGAUGAAGUUAUUGGGAACAUGUGCAACAGGCCUCAAUUGAAAACAAGUACAUACAUGCACACAUGCAUACAUAUGCAUACAUGGGUGCACACACACCCAGCUGUGCAUGCACACACAUGCAUGGACACACAAGCACAUGCCCUCACACACAUACAUGUGAUUUCAUAGGUAGAUCUGGUCCCUCUUGCUGUCUCCAAUGCUCUAGAAAGCAGCAAGUAGGCAGCUGACAGUGUUCCCAGGGUGGGUGGCAUCUCCCCUCAUCAUCAGAAAGAUUCAAAUGUGUCCCAGAGCUGAAGAGAAGGACUUGGGAAUGUCAGGGGAAACACAGCCAGGAAUGGGGGUUAACAGGCUUCUUUGGCCAGGAGAUGGUUUCCAGUUAACCGUCAUCCCAAAAGCUCUCUUCAGGUCAUGUCAAACAGACUAGGGCUGUGGGUGUGGCUGAGCCUGACACUGACUCCCCCACAGGCCGCUGUCCAGGUCAGGUCAGGAUUCCAGCCUGGUGGCGCCAGGCCCUUUACAUCCCUCUAGCCGCUGUCCACACCCAGGCCCCUCCACUGGCGUGGCUGCCUUCGCAAUCACCGUGUCUAUCAGAGACUGCCAUUCAAGGACAUGGGGUUCCUGGAGGUGCAGACUUGUAAAAUUUUUUAAUUGGCUUAUUUUAAUUUUUCAACUUGGGUGUACUGGUCCCCAUCAACAGGAAGAGCCUUCAGAAGUGAAUUUACAGAUUUCCCCCAUGUUUGAAAUUAACAUAACGUGAACCCAGGAGGCAGAGCUUGCAGUGAGCUGAGAUCGUACCAGUGCACUCCAGCCUGGGUGACAGAGUGACUCUAGGUAGGUAGGUAGGUAAGAAGGAAGGAAGGAAUAACAGACCUGGAUGCAGUUACUGGGAACAUGUCUUAUCAAUGUUGAAGGGCCACCCAUCACUGCAGGGAGACAUCCACGUGGGUUGAUUUUGUCUGCCGUGAAAAUCUAGGGUUGGAAACAUGUAAGAAUCCCUGCAAACUGCAGGGAUUCUUAAUCAUCCUGCUCACGUGGUGGGUAUCAGAGGGUGUCUGCCUGGUCCCCACAGCAUUGGGACAGUCAGGCCAUGCCUGGAUGACGCCCUAAUCACUGCCCUUUGCAGUCCAGGAGUACAUCACUGGGCUGGGGCCAUGCCCUGUCCCCUCCGGAAGACAAGCCUGUGCACUUACUAUGUACCAGAUGCCAGGCACAGUGCCCUAGUUCCUUGCUGUAGCACCAACACGUCCCACACUGGUGCUUCAGUGCAUGCAAACAACUUUGGGGGUUGUGACCCGAAAAGCUCAAAUGUUAAGCAGUCAGGCGAGCUAGAAGAGGUCAGGAUCCUCCUAGAAAACCCAUUCAAUGACAUGGACUUCCCUCACCUAUUCAACAGACACUUGCCGAACGCCUGCCACUUGCCUGGCCCUGUACCCAGGGCCCUUCUGGGAACCAUUCCUGCUAUAGCUGGGACCACCUGUGAAAUGGCUAUUUGUGCCUAACGGACACACUCAGAUUCACAAAAUGAAUUCAGAAGUCCCACCCAUGAAAGUGACCUUGGAGGUGUCAUUGCUCCCACCACCCCAGUUUCUAGUCCAAACCCCUGGCCAACAGCUGAUGCUAGAUAAAUGCUUGAUGAAGAGCAGAUUUGACUAUUAGUUACUCUGUACCUAAAACUCCUAUCUUCACAUCAAAGCCCUGACAGAUUUGCCCUUAACAGACUGAAAUCCAGGGCUGCUGCAGGGUUCACAACCCUCCAGUAGGCACCAUUCACGACACUGUACCAUAAAUGGUAAUGGGCUCCCAGGGAUACCGUUUACAUAGACUGCACUGAGAAUGGUUACCCUUGGGUUGGUACAAUGAGGUACCCUGUUGAAUGACCCUAAACCAGCCUCCCAAAUAUGCAGGAUUCCACAUUGGUCAGCGCCAUCCCUGAGCACAGAAUCAAAAACUAUGGAUGACAUGGCCACCCUGGCCACAACUGGAACCAAGCUGGUGGCCCAAGAGAGAGCGCCUCUUCUUGGAAUUGCAUGUCAGUUUCUCAUACCCAGUUUCUUCCUAUUGUUCCCCAUUUCCCGUUUUAAAGCUAGUAGCAUACAUCAUAGUCAAAUAACCAAGCGGUCAGUGUCUGGACAAUGUGCAGUAACGAGGUGGGGGGCUGCAAGGGUGAGAGGCUCAGUCACCUUAACAAGGCAGGAGACCUCCCACAAAAGGGUGAUGUGUCCUCCCCAGGGCCAGCCAGACAAGGGCAUACAGCGGCAGGGGUUGGGGGAUGGAAAUAUUUUCUCUCCUGUAAACUCUGGCUUCAUGUGAGCAGGCAUGGGGUCUCUCUGAGAGCUGAUAACCAGGAAAACCAAAAACAUUCCUAAUAAUACUGGAGUGUAACAAUAAUGAGUUUUUCACUGACCGCUGUUGCUCUUUUGUCUUUAUAUACAGUAGUUUUUGUUUUUUUUUUUUGAGACCGA